UACGUAGGGUCCGAGCGUUGUCCGGAAUUAUUGGGCGUAAAGAGCUCGUAGGCGGCUCAGUAAGUCAGGUGUGAAAACUCCAGGCUCAACCUGGAGACGCCACCUGAUACUGCUGUGGCUAGAGUCCGGUAGGGGAGCAUGGAAUUCCUGGUGUAGCGGUGAAAUGCGCAGAUAUCAGGAGGAACACCAGUGGCGAAAGGCGGUGCUCUGGGGCCGGAACUGACGCUGGAGGAGCGAAAGCCGUGGGGAGCAAACAGGA
rnacentral:rRNA from 1 species